UAGAAAGGCAGGGUUAGGUGACUGACCCAGGAAUGCAGAAAGCAGUUGUCCCCACGCGUGUCCCUGAAGGCUAGGACCGAGAUAGAUGGUGAGCUGGGAGGAGGCUAUCCAUCACAAGCGAGCAAGAUGGAAAUCCCCCGCUGAUCCUGCCAACCGGAGUCAGGAGGGGUGGCUUCCAACCAUACUUCCGGGGCUGCAGAAACCACCAGUCAGGGAACCUGAGGUCUGGAGAUCAUCAGGCAGAUGAACCUCCCUCAAUCCUCAUGUCUUCUCAGCCAAUGGACUCCAGCCUCAAGACUCUCCAGAAGUAUCUUGUGUGUGUGUGUGUGUGUGUGCAAACAGCAAGUUUACUUAUUUAUUUUUGAUAAGGAAAUAACAACAGAAUGGUGCCAAGUAAGGUACAAUUGAAACAUUUGCUGAUGGAAACUGUCCUUGAAAAAUCAGAUUGUUGUCACAGUUACUGAUUGUCGGCUUAAAAAAAAAAAAUGAAAUCCUAAGUUUG